CCGUGGCGUCUGGCACUGUGGUUCCUACAUGAAAACAGUGGCCAUUGGGGCCUGGACCUACAACACCACCUCUGCAGUCACAGUGAAGUCGGCC
ensembl:miRNA